GAUGAACGCUGGCGGCGUGCUUAACACAUGCAAGUCGAACGAGAAGUGGAGACGGAAACCUUCGGGCGGAAGACUUUAUUUCGAGUGGCGGACGGGUGAGUAACGCGUGGGUAACCUGCCUCAUACAGGGGGAUAACAGUUGGAAACGACUGUUAAUACCGCAUAAGACCACAGCACCGCAUGGUGCGGGGGUAAAAACUCCGGUGGUAUGAGAUGGACCCGCGUUCGAUUAGCCAGUUGGCGGGGUAACGGCCCACCAAAGCGACGAUCGAUAGCCGAUCUGAGAGGAUGACCGGCCACAUUGGGACUGAGACACGGCCCAAACUCCUACGGGAGGCAGCAGUGGGGAAUAUUGCACAAUGGGGGAAACCCUGAUGCAGCGACGCCGCGGGAGUGAAGAAGUAUUUCGGUAUGUAAAGCUCUAUCAGCAGGGAAGAAAAUGACGGUACCUGAGUAAGAAGCCCCGGCUAACUACGU
rnacentral:rRNA from 1 species